GAUGAACGCUGGCGGCGUGCCUAAUACAUGCAAGUCGAGCGAACAGACGAGGAGCUUGCUCCUCUGACGUUAGCGGCGGACGGGUGAGUAACACGUGGAUAACCUACCUAUAAGACUGGGAUAACUUCGGGAAACCGGCGCUAAUACCGGAUAAUAUAUUGAACCGCAUGGUUCAAUAGUGAAAGACGGUUUUGCUGUCACUUAUAGAUGGAUCCGCGCCGCAUUAGCUAGUUGGUAAGGUAACGGCUUACCAAGGCAACGAUGCGUAGCCGACCUGAGAGGGUGAUCGGCCACACUGGAACUGAGACACGGUCCAGACUCCUACGGGAGGCAGCAGUAGGGAAUCUUCCGCAAUGGGCGAAAGCCUGACGGAGCAACGCCGCGUGAGUGAUGAAGGUCUUCGGAUCGUAAAACUCUGUUAUGAGGGAAGAACAAAUGUGUAAGUAACUAUGCACGUCUUGACGGUACCUAGUCAGAAAGCCACGGCUAACUACGUG
rnacentral:rRNA from 1 species